rnacentral:rRNA from 1 species
CACGUAGGGUGCGAGCGUUGUCCGGAAUUACUGGGCGUAAAGCGUGCGCAGGCGGUUGUGCAAGACAGAUGUGAAAGCCCCGGGCUUAACCUGGGAAUUGCAUUGGAAACUAGCGGGCUGGAGUGUGGCAGAGGGGGGUGGAAUUCCACGUGUAGCAGUGAAAUGCGUAGAGAUGUGGAGGAACACCGAUGGCGAAGGCAGCCCCCUGGGCUGGAACUGACGCUGAGGAGCGAAAGCGUGGGUAGCAAACAGG